rnacentral:lncRNA from 1 species
CUCAGAAAACGAAGUGAUCAGAUGUAUUCACAUUGGCUUGCUCUGCAUUCAAAAUGACAAAGAAGCCCGACCCGCCAUGGAUACAGUUGUUCUUAUGCUUAGUAGUGCUGAUUUCGUUAGCCUCCCCUUGCCGGAGCAACCUACUUUCUUCAUCCCAAGUGUGAAGCACAAACAAAAAUAUCAAGAUCGAAACUCGAAUCAAUCCAAUGAGAAGCUCAAUAGGAGCACGAUAAUGCCGCAGUAUUCAGUGAUUAGUGAUUGUCUAACUGAUGUGGCUCCUCGAUAAAGAGCGGGAAAAUAUCAUGGAGCACACUCGAAAUCCACCGAGCAAUGUACAAUUCAUGAGCCAAGAGGUCAACACCAAGUAUCGUACAAAAAAUGCAAGCUCUCUUUUGGAAGGAACAAGAUUUUUAAGCUCUAAAUAAUAGUGUGUUGAAGUCCAUUCUCUAUGAGAGCAGCCGCAACUAUUUAGAUAGCAACAAAUCGAUGUAUAAAGUAAAUUACUCAUUCUUCUGUCUUUAAUUAUGAAUGUGAGAGAAUCAUAUUUCUCUCUACUCUUUUAACUUAUUACGGUUUAUCUUCGUUUCUUCUUUAAGACAAAGGAAAGGAUAACUCUAUAACGGUAGGAUGUUAUUUUUACGCAUAUAAAAUAAACUUUUUUUUUUCCAUACUAGAAAAUUUUAAGAGAAAGUGUACUAAAAGUCUUCAAACUUAUCAUAAAAAUGUAAUCAAGUUUUAAAACUUAUUAUAAAAUGCAAUCAACUUUUGCUUGUCUGGACAUUAAGAGCUGAUAUUUAUAAGACUUGUUCUUUAAUUGAGUUGCUUUUCCUAUUGUUAUUAGACGUGAUUUAUCCUGUGUUUUGAGUAUUCAAGGUAAGUGACUUCCUAUAUCUUUAAUUUUGUGAUCUUAGUCAUUAGCACUUUCCAUAACAAUAUAAUCAUCCAUGACCUAUGAAGGGUAGUUUCGACUGGGGUUUGUUGCGACCUACCCUCAGAGGAAAGGAAUAGGUUUAGGGGUAUUGCAUAAAUGACAGAUCUAAGGCCCAUGAUUAGGCGCGAGCUCUCCCAAGCCCAUACCUCGUGUGACGUUUGGCUAUUUUCAUGAAUUUUGCAAAAAAAGGAGUCGCCAAGCCUAUUGGGGUCAGUUAGAAAUCAAGUGAGGCAUAAGAGUGUACCUCAUUUCCUACGUAACCAGAGAAUCUAGGGUCGGAGACUUGAUUAUACUAAUUAAUCAAUUAGUGCCCUUUCGGUAUCUAAUCUUGUUCAUUUAAAAAAAAAAAAAAAUUGUCAGGCAUUUUGGAUUGAUUUUAUACCUAUCAACUAACAUGUGAGAUGAUUAUGCGAGUGCGCAAUCAUUAAAGUAAUAAUUAACAACCAAAAUCCUAAUUGCAGUAAAUUGAGCAUAUGAUUAAACAUAAUUAAAUAUGCAAAUAAAACAUGCGAUAUAAUCAAUAUACAAGCAAAUAAAAGCAUAAUUACACUAAGAAUACAAGACAUGGCAAUUCCUAACCAAACCCUACAUUUUUUAAAUUUUCGAAUUUUUUUUUAAAGGGUGCAUUUUUAAAUGUUUACUGAGUUUUUGAAUUUUCAGAGACUUUUUGAAUUUUUAUUAUUUUUAUUAUUUUUAUUAUUUUUUGAUUUUUUUUUAAAUUUAUGAAUUUUAAUGCAUUUUUAAUAUUUAAUAUUAUUAUACUUCAAGAAAAACGGUUCGGACCAGGUACACCCAAUCCAGCCCGUGGACCCGACCCAAACCCGGAUUCAAUACUUUUGGAUUUUUUCGUUUUCAUUUUUUUAAUAAUUUUUUUUCUUUCUUUUGUCUCUUCUCACUGCUCUCUUUCCCUGCACCAUCUGCUCAACGGUCCUUUCCGAAGCCAACUCCUAUUUUCUUUUUCUCUAUUUUUUUACUUUUUCUGUAUUUUUGUUUCCUUUCCUUUUUUCCUUUUCUUUUUAUUAUUCUUCUCUGUGCUCAUCUUCUCCCCGACGCCUCCUUGCGCGGCCGAAGCUCCCUCUUCCACUUCAUAGUUUUUCUUUUAUUACUUUUGCUUUUUUCCCUUUUUUAUUCUUUAUCCUUUUUUUUCUUUUUCUUUUUUUUACUUCAUCCCUUCCCUGCACCUUCCCCUUCUGCGACUCCUCCUUCCCGAAGCCCCUUUUAUAUUCUUUUAUCUAUUUUUUCGCUUUCUGCAUUUGUUCUUUUCAUCAUUUAAAAAAAAAAAAAAAACUACCUUCUUCCCCAAUGCACUCUCACGCCCGACUCUUCACCGAAGCCAUACUUCAACCUGGACCUCGCCCACACAACAACACCGAUUGGCAUAACCAUCGUCCCUUCCAUUGCCGAACCAACGCCGUCCACCAGACGUCCAUCACCACCGAUGUCGACCGCCUACUCCGGCCACCAUCUCGGACGCCCAAAAUAACUUCGUUGAUUGGAAACACACGAAUAUUUCACGCAAACUAUACAGAAACGUAGCGUAAUCAAUGAAAGCUAACACGAUUUAAGAGAGAUAACAACAGGCACUAGUCGAUUCCGAGUUAAAAAACACAAACUCUAUUUCGGCUCUCUUCGAAUCAUUUGUCAAACAUUGGGUGUGCAGCAGCUAAAAAGACCAUACGGGCUCACUCGAGGCUCAGAUUCGGGGAAAGAUCAACACAACAUGCACAAGCAACACUCAAGAUUCGCUCAUGGAUAGGUUAAUCACAGUCGGAAGAAGAACAACUAUCUCCGGGCUUCAACAAGCUUGGAGAACUUAUUAGGCAUUUGCGCAAGCAUUUGGUGUGCUGACACGGGGAAUUUUCCACUUGAUAGAGAUGCGAGACAAAUCUAAACCCCUACGACGCAUACUAAAACGGCUAGAAGCUUUCAGGGAGGACCGGCACCGAAACUUGCGCGAACUAGUCGGCACGAGCUCCGGCCCAACGCCUCCCGAGAAACAAGGGACGCACGGUCGAAACAAAGCCUACCUGGUUCGAGAAGAGGACUGCGGCGAAUGGCGGCUGAUGAACGGACCUCCGGCGACGACCAACCACUCUCUUGAGCUUGCGCUCUCUCUCUAGGUCGCUCUCUCGCUCACCCUCCUUCUCGAUCUCUCUCUCUCUCCUAGCCGAAGACCUCUCCCUCUGGCUCGACCUCCAUUCUCUCGAGCUCUCUGGUCUUGCUCUGUGUUUUUCCCUUGAACCCCUAGAACCCUCUUAUUCUCUUUCCUUUUAAGCUCGGCCAAUGAUAGGCGCGCGUGGCUUCUGCCACCGCCAGCCUGUCGCGGCCGCUUGAUCUCCGACCUUGGGAUCACGCCGUCCUCUGCCUCGGCGACCUUUGACCUCGCGAUCCUUUGCCUCGUCCCCUGGCUUGUAUG